rnacentral:lncRNA from 1 species
AGAGGAGAUUUAUGCCUUGGACAUGGCUUGGGAGAUACUAAAAGACUUUUCUGCCUCUUCUGAAUCAUCUCAUCCUUGUGAAGGAAAAAACCCAUUGUUGUGUUGGACACUAGAGAUUCUUGCUAUAAAAAUGAUUUUGAUACAGCAGUUGUGCCCAGGCUUCACACUGGGAUCAAGAAAUCAAGUGCAGAUUCCAAGAAGCUCCUGAUUCUGAUGUCAGUGUCCAGCAGAGCAGCA